rnacentral:lncRNA from 1 species
UGGGCAACCUCAUUCAUCGAGUAGACUCAGCAUUCUAUAAAUGCAUACUGUCCUUCUCACGAGAUAGUCCAGGGUUUGCAGUGUAUCACACUCAUACACACAAUAGUAUAUAUAGCAAAAAAACAUAUUUUCUCAAUUGAAGGAAUUCACUCUGAGGCAGCUGGAAGAGCUCAGUCUGACGCGGGUGCCGGGCACACACUGGCUCACCCAGGGAGAUGCAGGAAGCCAUCACAAGAGGCACUCUGGCCAACCUGACAGUAAUGCUUGCACAGCAAUAGUGGUUGAAGUUGAUUCUAUAAAAUGAUGCUGCUGGUCCUUCCUCCAUCUGCAACAUCAACACGCUAGAGGUUUUGAGGAGAGAGAGCUCAUCACACCUUUCCCCCUCACAAUACGGCUGGGCAGAUAGGGAUGAACAGCCACCCAAGCCGUCUUGGGUGCCAAGAUGGUGGCAGCAUCUCCAGAUAAGGGAGAAGGGAAGAGUUGGGAAAAGAAUCACCAGACCUUUCAGAUCAACUGAGUCCAGAACCUUUUCAUUUAAUUCCAGAACUGUAUCUGAAAUUGGCCAAACUCAACAGCAUUUCGCUGAGUGUCUAGGAAAUGGCAGAGGCAAUAGGAGGCGAGCCCCGAGCUCCACGCCCUAUAUGCAGAUGUGGUUUAAGUGGUACCCACUCACUUAAUGCUAUAGCCCAUCACUGAUCACUGUCAGAGAGCCCAAUUCAGGAUUUGCAGCUUGCUGAACGCAGUGCCAAACCUGUGAAUCCGCAAAAGCUUCUGCUCCGCUAGUUGUGAUGAUCUACAAGGGGGAUGUGGCUGCCCUGCUUCUCUGCAGCUCAACUUGGUGUAUACAGUGAUGAUACUAAGCGUCUACCUAGAGGUGACAAAUGGACCUUCAAUUUCUUCCUACCUUUUUUUGUUUUGUUUUGUUUGCUUUUUAGGGCCACACCUAGGGCAUAUAGGAGUUCCCAGGUUAGGGGUUGAAUCAGCUGUAGGCUGCAGCUGCCAGCCUACAUCACAGCUCACGGCAAUGCAAGAUCCUUAACCAGCUGGGCGAGGCCGAAGAUUGAACCCGCAUCCUCAUGGAUACUAGCUGUGUUUGAUACCACUGAGCUACAACGAGAACUCCCUGGACCUUCAAUUUCUAAACACUUGUUAAAUGCCUACGAUGGGCCAGGCAUUGUUCCAGUGCUUUGUAAGCCAGAAGUAGACAACCACUAAAGAAAAAGUGUAACAUCCAAACCAAGGAAUGUAAUUAAAAUGCUUCCAAGAAAUUUAAAAUGUGUUGGGACCAUCAGUAUAUUCAUUCUAAAUCUCACUUAUUUCUGUCUUAUAGAUAGGCGUAUGACAUAUAUUUAGCUAUCCUUAGCUAUCAUCUCUGAUAGUUUACAGUGAAUAUAUUUUCCAAACAAAUGCCCCACCAAGUCAUUCUAACUCUUACCUUACUGACAUUAUAAUGUCCAUGACACACCCACUCUAAUACCUACAGAUUUCUCUGAAAACAACUGAUUUCCUCAUACAAUUUCUUUUCUCAACUACCAACUGGUUUCCUUCAAUCUCCCUACAAGCCUGUCCAGCUCAGGAUACCAACAAUCCUUUUUGGAAACCACUGAGGUCAGGCUGGAAGCAACCAGGUGGACUGAACCAUCAUGGCUAGUUUAAUAAAGAAUUGAAACAACCUUCACAUAAGAAGCAAUUCAUCUGACAGCCUCUGGGGUCACCUGGCCAGACUCACCCACAGUUGGCUGAAACCUGGAGGUGGCUCUCAAUACAGAACAAUCCUCUGACUUCCUGGGUGAGGGAAGUCCCCCCGUUGCUUUCACUCCUGCUCAGCCUCACCUGUUUCCUCUCAACUCUGAGUCACCUCUCCCAUCAAUCUCUUCUCUUGCUUUCUGAGUAAUCAGCCGUGGGUCUCGUCUCUAGCUUCCUGACCUCCAAAAAACUUGUUUCCAUCACUUGAAAUUGACUAGUGAAGAUGGGCAGGACCACUCCUGAAUCCCAUGUAUCAGCGGCUCCCCUGCAGGCACUUAAGGGAGCUGGGGGGUGGGGGGGGAGGUUCCAGAUCCUUGGGUUCCACAUUCACCAGGGCAAUGUCCCUUAGUCUUGAGGGGUGGUUGUGCACAUCAUAUUCCCAUCUGCAACCCCCUCAGCCACAAGAAGAGCCCCAUCACAGAGCUGUUAAUGAACCCCUCCAAAGGGCAGAUGUCUCCUCACCCCUUCCACUGCCUUUCCCAAACAGGGGCUGGAGCCUACAGCUGAGACUUGUGGUUGAUUCAAUCUCUGCUUCUGCACAUAGACACAACGUGUGAGCUCAUUUCUCUGACAGCUUUUUCUGUUAAGGAAAAUAACCCUUCACACGUGUGACUGUGUGUGUGUAUAUGUGCUGUUUCUGCUUUGAAAUGCUCAGGAGAAAGGGUCUGGGCAGCAGAGAUGCAUUUUCAUUUCAAGAUAGAAGCAAAUGGACAUCAGAGCCGACAUGUUUCUGUGGCAUGUGAUUAAUACACACCCUCUGCAUUUUUGGCCUUUCUCAUGGCUGUCGCCCUCUCUCCGUUAGUCUCUUGGGAAUUGAGCUUCCUCUUGAUGAAUCUCCUCUGCAGUGAAUCUGUUAACAGGGCCUGGAGAGCAGCACAGGGCUGGGAGUAUUAACAGAGUAUGGCUCUUUCCUCAGUUGCGACACUGCCCAUGACCUUUGGGGCAGACAGAGCAAGUGGGCUCAUCAAGGCUCACCUACCUGCUCCUUGUCUCAGGGCUCCUUUGAUUGGUUAUAGCUGGGAGGCGCCCAGGGGUGGGGGUCCCUCUUCAAAUAACCCCACUCCUUUUUUCCAUUGGGACUGCAGGAGUGUUUUCCUUUCUAUUCUGUCCUUCCAUCCUCCUCUAUGUGAUUUUAUAAAAGACCUCAACUUGUACAUGGAGAGAAAGGAGGGAGGAAUUUUCCUCCAUGUGAGCAUCGUAAUUUUUGCAAUGCUGUGCAUUUGUGGGGGCUAAGUGAUCUCGGAUAUUCCCUUUACUUCAGUGUUUAUGGAGCACAUACUGUUAGCCAGGUGUGUGCUAGACACCCAGGGCUUCCCAAUGAACAUGCCCCCUUAUUCACUCACACCACCUGGUGUCCUGGCUGGAUCUGAGCCCAUCACCCUCAGUCCGCAGUGCACCCCUGUCCUGCCUGCCAGCGAGAACAAAGCCCACCCUGUUUCCAGAACUGCCAAAGGCUGUGCCAUCCACUUUCUGCCACUCCAUUCCUCGCCCUUUUGUCCCAUAGGAGCCUGUGUAGUAAGUGACUGGCCUCAGGGAAAUAUAUAAAAUUGUCGAGGUCCUGGAUGAGAAAUGUUUCCUAAGGGAAUUCACAAAGAGAGGCUGGGCGGUGAAGAGAAGCGCUUCUGGAUCUAAGCAACAUGAAGCAAGGCUUUACCUUCUCCUCUCGGGUCUGGUUCUCCCAACACAGCUGGCCGAUCCUAUCUGUUCUCAUUUGUACGUCCCCGUCUGUUAGAGAUGAGUUAUUCCCAAUGGGAUCUCUGUGGUCUCAGAGACUGGGCAUGUGAUCGGAAGAACUUUUCCAAGUUGGGCGGGAGAAAAAGAAGGGUCCUGCAGGGUGUUUGUGAGGACUCAGCGAGGAGAGGCUGAGAGGACCAGGAGUGAUCAGGAGGGAAUCGGAGUUCAUAGGAAUGAAACGGCAGGUGCUGGAUCACCGAGGCCAUGUAUCUGGGCUCCUGCCCAGCCCAUUUCUCCUCUGGGCUUCCAUCCCAAGCCCAGUAGCCCAGUCCUCUGACUCCAAGCCUUAGAAAUCCUUACACCAAGAUGGACUCUGUACCCACAGCUAAGUGUCCAUGACAGGUAGGGCACCAACUAGCUCCUUCCAAAGGUUGGUGGACUUUCAUUGAGUCAAAACCAUAAAACAAAAAUCUAAAUCCAUCAUUGUGAACCUCGGGGAUCUGGUUAAUGGGGAAAAAGAGCCUUGGUGGAGCCUGGCACCUUUGUGGGUCUUAGAAAUUUGAGGGCCAAGACAUCAUCUGUAGGGAAGGUUGCAGGUUUGUUUUGGGGUUUUGUUUCCUACUUUCGGUAACAUCCGGCAUGAGUUACUGCCCUUCCAAGAAAAGCCAUUCCUUCCUCAUCCAAUUUAGUGCCUGCCUUGUGACACUGCAUGCCCCAAACCCAUCACUGAUGGAGAGAUGCUGCAGUAAACAGGCAGUGUCCUUAACUGACCGGCUGCCCUCCUGCCAGGCACCGGCUGGCUCCAGGCUGUAUAGAGACCACUUCUGGUGAUGCAGGGUCAUUGCUGCAGUUUGUUUCUCCCUAAAAUGUGGACCUGCUCAGCUUACAGGAACCAUGGUGGUGGACUCCCUAGGGAUGGGCAGCCUCACCACAAUUUCUCCCGGGCUGUAUCUUUCUCCAGGAUGAAGGGAGACUGGUAGGAAGUGGCUCAUGCCCCAGGGGAGGAGUGGAAUUGGGACCAGGACCAGGGUUCCCUGAAACCACUGCUUAAGGGAGUGUGGAUUAGAGCCUGGAGGCCCUGGAGCGGGGUGGGACCAUCUGCCUUGGUCCCCUUGUAUCACUACACAAUUAUUUAUUAUUUUAUCUUGUUAACCAUCACAUCCUCCCAAUGCCAGCUCAAAUCCUCCUCCUCCUCUGAGUGGUUCUCAAACCUUAGUGUGUAUCAGGAUCAGGGAGCUCAUUAAAAACAUGGAUGCUGGGCCCCGCCCUGGAGUUUCUCGGGUAGGGCCUGAUAAUUUGCAUUUCUCACUAGACCCCAGGUGAUGCUUCUGCUCUGGUCCAAGGACACACUGAGAACCUGGGCUCCAGAGGGUCAGGCAUGAACCUGCAGUGGGUCCCCCCAAGUCAGGCCCUUCUUCCCUCUUUAGUUCUGACCCGGGGCCUCUGAGGUGCCCUCUCACAUCAGGCUGUUCCAUGGCUGUGGAUCUUGGCUCACGCUGGCCCCUGAACCUGGGUUAUGCUUCUUCACUUCUGAGGUCUGGCUGCCUGCUCCUUGUACUUAAGAACUUCUUUUGGCUGGUUUCACUGAAUCUCACCAUCAACCACGUUAUUUCUGCCCAAUAGGCAAGGUGACCGGCUUUAGGUGAACUGAGUCAGCUUGGGUUGGAAUUAAGAAACACAGAGGGGAAUUCCCAUCAUGGCACAGCGGAAAUGAAUCCGACUAGGAACCAUGAGGUUGCGCGUUCGAUCCCUGGCCUCACUCAGUGGGUUAAGGAUCCGGUGUUGCCAUGAACUGUGGUGUAGGUCGCAGAUGCAGCUCGCAUCUGGUGUGGCUGUGGCUGUGGCUGUGGCUGGCGGCAACAGCUCCAAUUAGACCCCUAGCCUGGGACCCUCCAUAUGCCAGGGUGGAGGCCCUCAAAAGACAAAAAACAAAACACAAAACAAACACAGAGGGAGGCAUAGCCUGCUUUCCUAGAAAGUUCUCCACUUGGCUUCAGCAAUACGUGGCAGGGCUCCCAGCAUUGCACCUACCACCAGCCUCCCACAGGGCACAGGAAACAUCCCAGAAGCUGGCAAGACCAGGAGAUCCUCCUGGGCAGGGCCGCCUUUCAUCCACCCUCCAUUCCCUGUACCUGGCACAGGGCCUGGCACACCACAGGUGCUGAGCAAGGGUUUGCUGAAUUAUAUGAAACAUAACGGCAAACACAGAAUCCCAUCUGUUCACUGAUGGCACACAGGGGGUGUCUGAUUGCUUUCUGGGGUGCUGGGGGAGGUAACAACUUCUGUCUCUUUUCGUCUCCCUGGGAUAGUCAAGUUUGGCCUCUCGCCCACCGCCCUUACCGAGCUAACUCUUCUUUCUGGUUGGUGCUCAAAGGACAGCUAGAGCAAGAUCUAUAAAGUAGGUACAGAAUAAAUUUAUAAAGUAAAGCAAAUCAAG